GGGCCCAGCACUGGGCGCACCCUUCGGGCCGAGCCGGCCCAGCCGCCGCGCUGGAGGGCAAGAUCCACCGACGGCACCGCGCGCAGGGUCAAGGCCAGGGACGGGAGCGGGAGAGCCGAGCAGGUCAGUAAUGGAAGGAAAAGGCUGUUACCUGAGGCAGCGGCAGAAGGCACUCCUGGUUUACUCACUCGAGCUUCUCUAGAACAUGGAAAUAAAGGAGUUACCCACCUAAACUACCAAAACCCAACACUGCUCUCUCUCUCCUUUAGUAAGGAAGAAACUGAGUAACAGCUUAUGUCUGUUAAGUGGCCCUUGGCACCCCUAAA